CAGAGGGGGACAACAGUUGGAAACGACUGCUAAUACCGCAUACGAUCUAAUCUCGGCAUCGAGGAUGGAUGAAAGGUGGCCUCUAUUUAUAAGCUAUCACUGAAGGAGGGGAUUGCGUCUGAUUAGCUAGUUGGAGGGGUAACGGCCCACCAAGGCGAUGAUCAGUAGCCGGUCUGAGAGGAUGAACGGCCACAUUGGGACUGAGACACGGCCCAGACUCCUACGGGAGGCAGCAUG
rnacentral:rRNA from 1 species